rnacentral:lncRNA from 1 species
CCUAAAACCAAAACCAAGAGCACGAAAACGCCGACACCCACCACCUUCGUCUCCAACCUUGCUUGGCAUCACCAUCCAACAAUCACCAAUCGAAUCUUCGCCUAGGAGGAUAAACGCCUUCAAUCAAAACCCAAGCAUUUAUCCUAAUAUAAACUCGUAAAUGCAUAAUUUUCUUGGAAACCCAUCUCUAGUUUUGAUUCAGAAUUUGGGGAAAUUAAGGAAAAAUGAUGACAACUGAAGGGAUGAUGGAUAGAAGGGGUGUUGGAUGAUAUAAUAAAGAGGCUUUUGGAAGGCGGGGGGAGGGAAUAGGUGCAGCUUUCAAAGGCGGAGAUCCGUCAACUUUCGGAGGCAGAGAUGAUUGGAUCAAUUUCUAUCUUAAACCCAUCUCAACUGCCAUAGUACAAAUUCUUCAUACGGUGAACUAAGAGCUACAAUUGAAAAGUGAAGGAAUUGUGUAAUUUUGUCUUUGCCUUCCUUAACAAAACUCUGCAAUACUAUUUCCAUGUCUGAAAUCAGAUUUCAAACUCUACAUUUCCUUCUCAAUAUUUGUAGGAGUGGUGGUGCCGAUGGAUUUGGUGGCGAUGAUGAUUGGUGGAUUUGAAGGUCGA